AAAAAAAAAACACGUGAGUAACCUGCCCUUGACUUUGGGAUAACUUCAGGAAACUGGGGCUAAUACCGGAUAGGAGCUCCUGCUGCAUGGUGGGGUUUGGAAAGUUUCGGCGGUUGGGGAUGGACUCGCGGCUUAUCAGCUUGUUGGUGGGGUAGUGGCUUACCAAGGCUUUGACGGGUAGCCGGCCUGAUGGGGUGACCGGACACAUUGGGAAUGAGAUACGGCCAAGACUCAUACGGGAGGCAGCAGUGGGGCAUAUUGCACAAUGGGCGGAAGCCGGAUGCAUCAACGCUUUUUUUUUUAAAUCAUC
rnacentral:rRNA from 1 species